rnacentral:rRNA from 1 species
AGCGAACGCUGGCGGCAGGCUUAACACAUGCAAGUCGAGCGGGCCCUUCGGGGGCAGCGGCGGACGUGUGAGUAACGCGAGGGAACGUGCCCUCUGGUCUGGAAUAACCCUGGGAAACUAGGGCUAAUACCGGCUACGCCCUUUUGGGGAAAGGCUUGCUGCCGGAGGAGCGGCCAGCGUCUGAUUAGCUAGUUGGGGGGGUAACGGCCUACCAAGGCGACGAUCAGUAGCUGGUCUGAGAGGAUGAUCAGCCACACUGGGACUGAGACACGGCCCAGACUCCUACGGGAGGCAGCAGUGGGGAAUAUUGGACAAUGGGCGCAAGCCUGAUCCAGCCAUGCCGCGUGAGUGAUGAAGGCCUUAGGGUUGUAAAGCUCUUUUAUCCGGGACGAUAAUGACGGUACCGGAGGAAUAAGCCCCGGCUAACUUCGUGCCAGCCGCCGCCGUAA